rnacentral:rRNA from 1 species
CGACCGGCGCACGGGUGAGUAACACGUAUGCAAUCCACCUGUAACAGGGGGAGUAACCCGGAGAAAUCCGGACUAAUACCCCAUAAUAUGGGCGCUCCGCAUGGAGAGUUCAUUAAAGAGAGCAAUUUUGGUUACAGACGAGCAUGCGCUCCAUUAGCCAGUUGGCGGGGUAACGGCCCACCAAGGCGACAAUGGAUAGGGGUUCUGAGAGGAAGGUCCCCCACUGGAACUGAGACACGGUCCAA